UCUCCCAAUGUCAGACAAAGUUCAGAGACGCUAAAACUGAAAUGAUACAAAGGAAAAUGUUGGUAGAUAAACUAUAUGAAACAAAUGUGAAAAAUGCUCCAGGAGCACCACAAAAGGUUGAUCAGUACCGACAGUUAACCAUCCAGAACCUGCAGCUGACUCUCUACAAUGAGAGACAAGGUGCUUCUUUACAGAGAACCUUUCCUGGAGGAAAUCCUCAGGAGGUGUGGGAGUAUUUGGGCUCUGAAUGUUAUUGGCUUGGCUGCCUGAUGGCUUUGAGCAACCCCCCUCUGCGGCCUGACUGGGAGAAUCAUCCUCUGUCAAUGGAUA